GAAUCCAAUGGUUCAAUGGUUUGAAAUGAAAAUUUUCACCAGCUAUGCUGAGGUCCCAGGUUCGAUCCCUGGUAGGUGCA